UGUAAACUUGUACUCUAAUUGAUGUCGUCCUUAAGUGUUUAUUAUUAAUUUACUUUUAGUUUUUGGGUAAAAUUAGAGAUUUUGUUAAUUGUUAUUUGAGGACAAAAAAUUUAGUGAGCAAGCCAGAUUAGUACCUGGUUAGAUAAAAGUUAAAAGAGCAGGAGUAAGGUUAUAUUUAAACUGUAAGAAUAUUGGCAGGUUUUUAAAUUAUCUUUGGAGGUUGAAUAGUAAUUGAGAGCCCUCAUUAUCUACUUUUAUUUUAGGCGCAUGUAUGAUCGUUUAUUUUAUUCUUGAGGAUUGUAAUUUUAGUUUAUAACUGUAAAAAUAGAUAUAUACUUGGUCUAUAUUAAAGUUUAUUUUGACCUACAAUAUUAUAUUUUUUGGAUAAUAUUUGUAGUGAAUAUUUGAAAUUGUAAAAGACAGUAAAAUCUUCUUAAUGUAGAUUUGAAGUUUAUUUAAAAACGGUACAAAUCAUCCAUCAAUUGCCCAUAGG
rnacentral:ncRNA from 1 species